rnacentral:rRNA from 1 species
CGGACGGGUGAGUAACGCGUGAGAAUCUACCUUCAGGUUCGGGACAACCACUGGAAACGGUGGCUAAUACCGAAUGUGCCGAGAGGUGAAAGGCUUGCUGCCUGAAGAAGAGCUUGCGUCUGAUUAGCUAGUUGGUGUGGUAAAGGCGCACCAAGGCGACGAUCAGUAGCUGGUCUGAGAGGAUGAUCAGCCACACUGGGACUGAGACACGGCCCAGACUCCUACGGGAGGCAGCAGUGGGGAAUUUUCCGCAAUGGGCGAAAGCCUGACGGAGCAAUACCGCGUGAGGGAGGAAGGCUCUUGGGUUGUAAACCUCUUUUCUCAGGGAAGAAAAAAAUGACGGUACCUGAGGAAUAAGCAUCGGCUAACUCCGUGCCAGCAGCCGCGGUAAUACGGAGGAUGCAAGCGUUAUCCGGAAUGAUUGGGCGUAAAGGGUCCGCAGGUGGCAUUGUUUGUCUGCUGUUAAAGAGUCACGCUCAACGUGAUCAAAGCAGUGGAAACUACAAAGCUAGAGUAUGGUCGGGGCAGAGGGAAUUCCUGGUGUAGCGGUGAAAUGCGUAGAUAUCAGGAAGAACACCGGUGGCGAAGGCGCUCUGCUAGGCCAAACCUGACACUGAGGGACGAAAGCUAGGGGAGCGAAUGGGAUUAGAUACCCCAGUAGUC